UACAGAGGUCUCAAGCGUUGUUCGGAUUCAUUGGGCGUAAAGGGUGCGUAGGCGGCGUGGUAAGUCGGAUGUGAAAUCUCGGAGCUUAACUCCGAAACUGCAUUCGAUACUGCCGUGCUUGAGGACUGGAGAGGAGACUGGAAUUCAUGGUGUAGCAGUGAAAUGCGUAGAGAUCAUGAGGAAGACCAGUGGCGAAGGCGGGUCUCUGGACAGUUCCUGACACUGAGGCACGAAGGCCAGGGGGGCAAACGGG
rnacentral:rRNA from 1 species